GCAGAUUCUCCCUGAGCGGCAAAGAUCUGGCACAGCUUAACAAACACUUGAGCCAAGGAAAUGAAGAUGUCUGGAGAAAGAAAGAGGAGAAUCGGCAUUGUAGGUUUUGGUCGCAUAGGUAGGUAUUUGGUGCAGCGGAUAGAAGAAGAAGGUUACAAGCAUGACCUGGAACUGGCCUUUGUCUGGAACAGGAGUGCGGAGGGUUUGCAGGGGAGGGUGCCCGGUCAUCUACAGCUGCUAGAUCUCCU